rnacentral:rRNA from 1 species
AUUGAACGCCGGCGGCAGGCCUAACACAUGCAAGUCGAGCGGAUGAAGGGAGCUUGCUCCUGGAUUCAGCGGCGGACGGGUGAGUAAUGCCUAGGAAUCUGCCUGGUAGUGGGGGAUAACGUCCGGAAACGGGCGCUAAUACCGCAUACGUCCUGAGGGAGAAAGUGGGGGAUCUUCGGACCUCACGCUAUCAGAUGAGCCUAGGUCGGAUUAGCUAGUUGGUGGGGUAAAGGCCUACCAAGGCGACGAUCCGUAACUGGUCUGAGAGGAUGAUCAGUCACACUGGAACUGAGACACGGUCCAGACUCCUACGGGAGGCAGCAGUGGGGAAUAUUGGACAAUGGGCGAAAGCCUGAUCCAGCCAUGCCGCGUGUGUGAAGAAGGUCUUCGGAUUGUAAAGCACUUUAAGUUGGGAGGAAGGGCAGUAAGUUAAUACCUUGCUGUUUUGACGUUACCCACAGAAUAAGCACCGGCUAACUUCGUG